rnacentral:rRNA from 1 species
UACGGGGGGGGGCAAGCGUUUGUUCGGAAUUACUGGGCGUAAAGGGCUCGUAGGCGGCCAACUAAGUCAUACGUGAAAUCCCUCGGCUUAACCGGGGAACUGCGUCUGAUACUGGAUGGCUUGAGUUCGGGAGAGGGAUGCGGAAUUCCAGGUGUAGCGGUGAAAUGCGUAGAUAUCUGGAGGAACACCGGUGGCGAAGGCGGCAUCCUGGACCGAUACUGACGCUGAGACGCGAAAGCGUGGGGGAGCAAACAGGG